rnacentral:rRNA from 1 species
UACGUAGGGUGCGAGCGUUGUCCGGAAUUAUUGGGCGUAAAGGGCUCGUAGGCGGCGCGUCGCGUCGGGGAGUGAAAGCCCGCUGCUUAACGGCGGGUUGGCUUCCGGUACGGGCAUCGCUGGAGUGCGGCAGGGGAGACUGGAAUUCCUGGUGUAGCGGUGGAAUGCGCAGAUAUCAGGAGGAACGCCGGUGGCGAAGGCGGGUCUCUGGGCCGUUACUGACGCUGAGGAGCGAAAGCGUGGGGAGCGAACAGG